rnacentral:tRNA from 1 species
GCGGGGUUAGUUCACUGGUAGAAUGCUUCCUUGCCAAGGAAGAUGUAGCGAGUUCGAUUCUCGUACCCCGCU